rnacentral:rRNA from 1 species
AGAGUGAACGCUGGCGGCGUGCCUAACACAUGCAAGUCGAACGAGAACGGAACUAGCUUGCUAGUUUGUCAGCUAAGUGGCGCACGGGUGAGUAAUAUAUAGUUAAUCUGCCCCAAAGAAGAGAAUAAUUGUUGGAAACGACUUGUAAUGCUCUAUAUGCCUUUAUCACAUAAGUGAGCAAGGGAAACAUUUAUGGCUUUGGGAUGAGACUGUACGGUAUCAGCUAGUUGGUGAGGUAAUGGCUCACCAAGGCUAUGACAUCUAACUGGUUUGAGAGGAUGAUCAGUCACACUGGAACUGAGACACGGUCCAGACUCCUACGGGAGGCAGCAGUGGGGAAUAUUGCACAAUGGACGAAAGUCUGAUGCAGCAACGCCGCGUGGAGGAUGACACAUUUCGGUGCGUAAACUCCUUUUAUAUGAGAAGAUAAUGACGGUAUCAUAUGAAUAAGCACCGGCUAACUCCGUGCCAGCAGCCGCGGUAAUACGGGGGGUGCAAGCGUUACUCGGAAUCACUGGGCGUAAAGAGCAUGUAGGCUGGUUUGUAAGUUGGAAGUGAAAUCCUAUGGCUUAACCAUAGAACUGCUUCCAAAACUGCAGACCUAGAAUGUGGGAGAGGUAGAUGGAAUUUCUGGUGUAGGGGUAAAAUCCGUAGAGAUCAGAAGGAAUACCGAUUGSGAAGGCGAUCUACUGGAACAUUAUUGACGCUGAGAUGCGAAAGCGUGGGGAGCAAACAGGAUUAGAUACCCUGGUAGUCCACGCCCUAAACGAUGCACACUAGUUGUUGCCUUGCUCGACAAGGCAGUAAUGCAGUUAACAC